rnacentral:rRNA from 1 species
GAGUUUGAUCCUGGCUCAGGAUGAACGCUGGCGGCGUGCUUAACACAUGCAAGUCGAACGGGGGCGUGAUGUGCGAGAGGGAUAGUUUACUAGACUUCAAACUUUUCACGCCCUAGUGGCGGACGGGUGAGUAACGCGUGGGUAACCUGCCAUAUACAGGGGGAUAACACUUAGAAAUAGGUGCUAAUACCGCAUAAGCGCACAGGGGCGCAUGCCCCGGUGUGAAAAACUCCGGUGGUAUAUGAUGGACCCGCGUCUGAUUAGCCAGUUGGCAGGGUAACGGCCUACCAAAGCGACGAUCAGUAGCCGGCCUGAGAGGGCGGACGGCCACAUUGGGACUGAGACACGGCCCAAACUCCUACGGGAGGCAGCAGUGGGGGAUAUUGCACAAUGGGGGAAACCCUGAUGCAGCGACGCCGCGUGAGUGAAGAAGUAUUUCGGUAUGUAAAGCUCUAUCAGCAGGGAAGAAAAUGACAGUACCUGACCAAGAAGCCCCGGCUAACUACGUGCCAACAGCCGCGGUAAUACGUAGGGGGCAAGCGUUAUCCGGAUUUACUGGGUGGUAAGGGAGCGUACACCGCUAUGUAAGUCUGGAAUGAAAGCCCCGGGCCCAAACCCCCGGACUGCAUUUGAAACUGUGGACCUGGACUACAGGCCGGA